CAACUUUCAGCAACGGAUCUCUUGGCUCUCCCAUCGAUGAAGAACGCAGCGAAAUGCGAUAAGUAAUGUGAAUUGCAGAAUUCAGUGAAUCAUCGAAUCUUUGAACGCACCUUGCGCCCUUUGGUAUUCCGAAGGGCAUGCCUGUUUGAGUGUCAUU
rnacentral:rRNA from 5 species